rnacentral:lncRNA from 10 species
CAGCCUGGGUGACCCUGAGUGAUACCCUGUCUGUAAAAAUGAAAACGAAAGAAACAAAGCAACAACAAAAUAACUUGGUCUGCCGCUAAAUAUGGACUUGCUGGAGUCACAAUCUUGUUUAAACUAAUUGGUGGGGUCCCAAACUCCAUCAAGCUAAAGGAAUUCAGACAUUCAGACAGGGUAGAAGAUAGAAAAUAUACAUCUGGGAUGUGAACAGGACAUAGAAAAUCUACUGACCAACCACGAAAAAUGUUACAGAUCAUCUUAAAGGAUCCCGUGUGCACAUGAUUUUUGAAGCCCAACAUCUCUCUUAACCACCUGCAAAUCUGCAGGUCUUGGUACACAGCCUGUUUCCCAUGACUGCUCCUGUCCAGCAGAUCAAGUGACACGUGCAGUCCCAGGUAGAAGCAAUGGGGGAGUGCAAAGCAGAUGAUCAAGAAGUGAGGGGUGGGGCGAAGGUAAUUUGUAGCUGACAGGUAGGUGAGCCUUUCUCCUUUAGCCAAAAUGGACUACAGCUUGAGUCUGGCCUAAUUUCCUUACUCAAGUGCUUAAGGGCAAAAAUCUGUGUCUGCAGGGCUCAAGGUUGCUCUCGCGUGGUAAUUGCAUGGUGGGAUGCCCUAAUGAAGGGGUGAUCAGCAAAGCCUCUGAGGAUUGCUUAGGUUUUAGCAACCUGGUCGCAGAAGGAUUUGCUUUGAAAACUAGAAUAAGUUGCCUGCCUCAGCAGAAAAGACUUUUAUGUAGCAAAGCUAACAAGGAAAACAUUGUCUGCAACCGACCCACCAAAUACCCAGCCAUAUGCCCCUGGUGACUUGCCUUUAAGAAAUGAGAUGCUUUGAUCCCCAGCCAAUUCCUGCUGCUCUAAACUUGAAUGGAGUUUUGCUGGCCAAGCUCUUCAUUCAGGAUUGUAAUUUAGUACAGUGAGGAUGAAACAGUUCCUUAGAACUCACUGAGAUACUAAAGUCUCCAGAAUAAGGGCAGAGGAGUGGCCUUUGUCCUAGAGAUAGGCAAUGACCUGCUCAGUCCUGUCCACUUACGUGCAGAUCUGCCUAGACAUCUCACAGUGCCAACCUGUUGCCUCUCCAACUGGCCACAGUCCACAACUUCCUUCUUUCUGGGAAAGGCCCAAGGAGUGGUUAAUGGAUCUUUUUCAUCUUAAACCUGAAAAAGCGAAUCAAAUGUUCAAAGACCAAAACGUGUAAUUACAAGUUUGAUCUAAGCAAACUCUGUAAAAAGAAAAAUUGAGUCCCUGUAGAAGUGACUUGUUCGAAAAUCACAGAGUCAGCGGUAGAGAUUGGACAGAAUGGAAGAAACCAGUCCCAGAAGA